UUUUCCGUUUGUUCUUAGAGACAUUGCAAUUGCCUUUUGAGACAAGGAAGGAUGCUGUGGCAAUGGAGAGAUGCUUGAUGAUGCCAGUCAAGUAGUCCCAGGUGGUUUAGAUUACUGCCAUGAUGCAACUUGCUUUCAUACUAUGGCUGUUGUUACAAAAUCAUUUGAGAACCAGCUGAAGCAUUUGAAAAAAUUGCCAGCUGUUCAUUACUUCUCAUCUCGAUGUUACUCUCCAUGCAACUGAGCUGCUGGAACAGAUCUGCAGGCACCUACACGUGUUGUAAGCGAAGUUCCAUCUGGUCACAACAUCGUGGAUCAUCUGGGUAACAGCCAGGCUUCAUUUGCUUCAUGUCCUGGACAGCAUGGAGGCAGCCGAAUAGGAAUAUUUAAAUGACUGACCAACCGCAACCGAGUUUGCCCCUGAGGAUUCGUCUAAUAAUGGCUCCUCACUAUGGAGCAGUAGUGGCUCUGCGAAUUGUUUUCUUUUUCAAAUGACUCAAGCUAGCCUCUGUGGAAUGAUUUAGCCUUUUUAUUAGGUGCUGACAAUUUACUGGAGAUACGUUCUGGCUCUUACCUUGGGACAUGUGGAGGCGGAUAUUGGCUGUGCCUGAAAUCCUUUCUGAAACCUGUCUGUAAGUGAAAAACAGAAGAAACCCGGACUGCACGGCACAGCUGUUACUCUGGGCCUGACAGGGUGCUUGUACAGGGUGUAUUUCACACCUAUGCAGAAGGUACAUACAGUGCUACCACAUCACAUUUUUCCAGGCAUUUGAAAUCAUUCGCACCUGCUUCACACAAGGGCAAAAGACAGAGAAAGUGGAUGCACCACUUAGUUGUGCUUAACCCAUGAGCCGAGCACCUCGGAGAGACCUUUGGCACUGGUGGCAGCAGCGGAGGGGCAGGGACUCCUAGCGAAGAGCUGGCAGUGCUGGCCGCAGCCCCUGGGGGAUGUCCUGCUGCCAGGUGUAUGUUCCCCUUAGAAAACUCUGUUCUGCAGAACUAGAGGUGAGUGAUGGGCUAUGAAAGGGUGGCAGACAGCUGCCUAGCACAAGUGUGCCGUUUCAAUAACAAAUGGUGAUGGAGGCAAUGCCUGCUAGGUGAGUGAUGCCCUUCUCCAGGGGCUAGGAGACUAUGCAAAUCCCAGCAUGCUGCAUGAACAGCAAUAAGUGCUUCCAAAAAUUCAGUCUGUCUACAAACACUGUGUUGGCAGUGCCCAAAGAAGCCCUUUCAAGCACAGCAAGUCCCGUGAAGUUCUGUAGGUGGCUCACUGCUUGUUUAUGAUAACAAGUUUAUUCAGUGAGUGAUACGGAGAAGUACCUGAAUUCACCUUCAGGGGUGGCUGUGAGAGGUAUUCCCUUCUGUUUUAAAAUGUGGGCAUCUUCUAGAAAGAUGCCAUUCAUGGAAGAUCCUGGUGUCAAAAUUAUCCAGGGAAAAAGGCUGAGAUACCACAGUAACAUCUAUGGGGAUGGUGCAUGGGCCAUCCCUUUCAGGAAAAUCUCAGGAAGAAAGUAUCUAGAUGACUUACGGGGCAAAUUCUUACACAGUUUGCAGUUGGCUGCUGCAGAGUCCGUGGAGGAUUUGCGGGAUUUCUCCCACCCCGCAGCUGGGCCUACCUGUGCCCCCCUCCUCCCACGGCCAGCCCCCGCACAGCCACCAGCAACAGGGAAAGACGUGCUUAAACAUGCCCGAGACUGGUUUGCAGACCUUCUAUGGCUGCAUCUGCAUGUAUCUCUCUAUAUAACCUGUAUCUACAGAUUCUGGGGCAGGCAUGCAUAUCUUUGACCAGGUAAGUAAGGUCAGUAGAACCAGUGUCAUUACGCACCGCAUAAAGUAGCUCCCGAGCCUAAGGAGGCAGUAACCGGUGAAGUUUCGUUCAGGCUCGCCGAACCGCCCCGGUGCCCCGGCUCCCCCCAGGCACGGCAGUAGCGCUGCAAAUCCGCUUGGAGGCACUGCAACACAGCG